UUUUCAUCCAUUUAUAAUUGGCUUUAGAAAUCAGCACAUAAACCCUCCCAACUCAUUUCUCUUGGUCGGCCAAAGGAAGAAAAGGGAAGAAAAGAAGAAGAACAAAACCCUAGCUAAGAAAUUCAAGGGAAAAUCACUAGAUUUCAAGGAAUUGAGACAUCAAAGUGCUGAGCUUUCUGGCAAAAGUAAAGAGAUAGUACGCGAGGAUCAAGAAUCGAAGUACUCAAAACUCGAUUUCCAUUAAAGUUCCAACGAAGCCCCAUCGCCACAUUUGGACAACUAGAGAAGUAGAGUCGACAAAAGGUUCAACAAGAUACCGAUCUCGAGGCAGCUGGUAACUUGGUCGAAGUGUCUUUGUAUAUUCGACCCUUGGUAGGUGUCUCGACAUUUAGUAGCUGUACAUUCGUCCGAGUCUCUCUGCUGGAAGUCGAGUACUCUU